CCCUUAGAUGUUCUGGGCCGCACGCGCGCUACACUGAUGCAUUCAACGAGCCUAUCCUUGACCGACAGGUCCGGGUAAUCUUUGAAUCUGCAUCGUGACGGGGAUAGAUUAUUGCAAUUAUUAAUCUUGAACGAGGAAUUCCUAGUAAACGCAAAUCAUCAAUUUGCAUUGAUUACGUCCCUGCCCUUUGUACACACCGCCCGUCGCACCUACCGAUUGAAUGGUCCGGUGAAGCCUCGGGAUUGUGGCCAGUUCACUUUAUUGGGAGUUGGCUGCGAGAACUUGUCUAAACCUUAUCAUUUAGAGGAAGGUGAAGUCGUAACA
rnacentral:rRNA from 1 species